rnacentral:rRNA from 1 species
UACAGAGGUCUCAAGCGUUGUUCGGAUUCAUUGGGCGUAAAGGGUGCGUAGGCGGCGCGGUAAGUCGGGUGUGAAAUCUCGGAGCUUAACUCCGAAACUGCAUUCGAUACUGCCGUGCUUGAGGACUGGAGAGGAGACUGGAAUUUACGGUGUAGUGGUGAAAUGCGUAGAUAUCGUAAGGAAGACCAGUGGCGAAGGCGGGUCUCUGGACAGUUCCUGACGCUGAGGCACGAAGGCCAGGGGGAGCAAACGGG